CGCACCUGAUGAGUUAGCUACUCGGCCAACCGUGACCAUCCCUUGACCGCUGCAGCACCAAACUGAUCGCGUUUCGUACUCCAGCGGCCUGGGAUGUAACCUCCCAAAAUUUCAAACUUUUACAUGUGCAUUGCAUCCAUGAGCAUCAUGCCACAAUUGCAUGUUUGAAUUCAAAUUUUGAAUCACAAAAGGGCUUUAAGAGAUUUUGUUUACAUCCCUGUAACCUUUGGAUUUUCAAACCAAUAGGGUUGAUGUAUAAAAAGGGUUUAGUGCAUAUAUAAACUAUCCCAUAAUUUUUGGAUAAUUAUUUGGAGUUGAAAAAGUAUUUUAUUUAAACAGAUAUAUGGCCAUAAAGGCAUUUACAGGGCAAAUGUAUAUUUACAUAUUUUAUUUUGAGGAGAAACUACUUCCAAAAGUUGUAUCAUGGUAGAACAUGAUUUUACAAAUUUUCUGGAUUUUAUUUCGGCCAAUUUGGAGUUCAAAAUCAAAAGUUAUCAAAGGAUUGAGAAAAAAAAAAGAAAAAGAAAAGAAAAGAAGAAAACCGGACCGAACCGGCCCA
rnacentral:lncRNA from 1 species